rnacentral:rRNA from 1 species
GACGAACGCUGGCGGCGUGCUUAACACAUGCAAGUCGAACGGAAAGGCCCUGCUUUUGUGGGGCGCUCGAGUGGCGAACGGGUGAGUAACACGUGAGUAACCUGCCCUUGACUUUGGGAUAACUUCAGGAAACUGGGGCUAAUACCGGAUAGGAGCUCCUGCUGCAUGGUGGGGGUUGGAAAGUUUCGGCGGUUGGGGAUGGACUCGCGGCUUAUCAGCUUGUUGGUGGGGUAGUGGCUUACCAAGGCUUUGACGGGUAGCCGGCCUGAGAGGGUGACCGGCCACAUUGGGACUGAGAUACGGCCCAGACUCCUACGGGAGGCAGCAGUGGGGAAUAUUGCACAAUGGGCGGAAGCCUGAUGCAGCAACGCCGCGUGCGGGAUGACGGCCUUCGGGUUGUAAACCGCUUUCGCCUGCGACGAAGCGUGGGUGACGGUAAUGGGUAAAGAAGCACCGGCUAACUACGUG